rnacentral:misc_RNA from 1 species
CCGAAAUGCAGCGGGUUGAGGGUUCGCCCUGGGCCCGCGUACAUGCAUUACACCCACCCUUUGACUUUGAGCACCGCCCGUUUCCUCGGCAGGUUCGCCUGCCAGCGGGGACCCCCCCAUAAACUCUUUGCAGUUAGCAGUAUUUGUCUGAAAUCAAACAUAAUAAUCA